rnacentral:rRNA from 1 species
UACGUAGGGGGCUAGCGUUGUCCGGAAUUAUUGGGCGUAAAGAGCUUGUAGGCGGUUUGUCGCGUCUGCUGUGAAAUUUCGGGGCUCAACCCCGAACUUGCAGUGGGUACGGGCAGACUAGAGUGUGGUAGGGGAGACUGGAAUUCCUGGUGUAGCGGUGAAAUGCGCAGAUAUCAGGAGGAACACCGGUGGCGAAGGCGGGUCUCUGGGCCGAUACUGACGCUGAGGAGCGAAAGCGUGGGGAGCGAACAGG